rnacentral:rRNA from 1 species
UACGAAGGGGGCUAGCGUUGCUCGGAAUCACUGGGCGUAAAGCGCACGUAGGCGGAUUGUUAAGUCAGGGGUGAAAUCCUGGAGCUCAACUCCAGAACUGCCUUUGAUACUGGCGAUCUUGAGUCUGGGAGAGGUGAGUGGAACUGCGAGUGUAGAGGUGAAAUUCGUAGAUAUUCGCAAGAACACCAGUGGCGAAGGCGGCUCACUGGCCCGAUACUGACGCUGAGGUGCGAAAGCGUGGGGAGCAAACAGG